ACACGACUACAUUAGAUACCCCGGUAGUCCUAGCCGUAAACGAUACUCGCUAGGUGUCGGCCACGGUGCGACCGUUGUCGGUGCCGUAGGGAAGCCGUGAAGCGAGCCACCUGGGAAGUACGGCCGCAAGGCUGAAACUUAAAGGAAUUGGCGGGGGAGCACCACAACGGGUGGAGCUUGCGGUUUAAUUGGAUCCAACGCCGGAAAUCUUACCGGGACCGACAGCAACAUGAAGGCCAGGCUGAAGACUUUGCCGGAUUAGCUG
rnacentral:rRNA from 1 species